rnacentral:rRNA from 1 species
AUUGAACGCUGGCGGAAUGCUUUACACAUGCAAGUCGAACGGUAGAGGGGGCAACCCCUCGAGAGUGGCGAACGGGUGAGUAAUAUAUCGGAACGUGCCCAGUCGUGGGGGAUAACGUAGCGAAAGUUACGCUAAUACCGCAUACGAUCCAAGGAUGAAAGCGGGGGAUCGCAAGACCUCGCGCGAUUGGAGCGGCCGAUAUCAGAUUAGGUAGUUGGUGGGGUAAAGGCUCACCAAGCCGACGAUCUGUAGCUGGUCUGAGAGGACGACCAGCCACACUGGGACUGAGAGACGGCCCAGACUCCUACGGGAGGCAGCAGUGGGGAAUUUUGGACAAUGGGCGAAAGCCUGAUCCAGCCAUGCCGCGUGCAGGAUGAAGGCCUUCGGGUUGUAAACUGCUUUUGUACGGAACGAAAAGGUUUGGCCUAAUAAGUUGAGCUCAUGACGGUACCGUAAGAAUAAGCACCGGCUAACUACGUGCCAGCCGCCGCGGUAA